rnacentral:rRNA from 1 species
GACGAACACUGGCGGCAUGCCUAAGACAUGCAAGUCGAACGAGGUGGCCCAAUGAAGAAGGAGUGCUUACACAAUUUUGGAUUUGGAUUUCCACCUAGUGGCGGACGGGUGAGUAACACGUGGGUAACCUACCUUUUAGUUGGGGAUAACAAUUGGAAACGAUUGCUAAUACCGAAUGAUAUAUUAGAAGAUAACUUCUGAUAUUAAAAGGCGCUUUCAAGCGUCACUUUAAGAUGGGCCCGCGGUGUAUUAGCUUGUUGGUGGGGUAAUGGCUCGCCAAGGCAACGAUGCAUAGCCGAACUGAGAAGUUGAACGGCCACGCUGGGACUGAGACACGGCCCAGACUCCUACGGGAGGCAGCAGUUAGGAAUCUUCGUCAAUGGGGGAAACCCUGAACGAGCGAUGCCGCGUGAGUGAUGACGGUCUUUUCGAUUGUAAAACUCUGUGGUUUGGAAAGAACGACCAAAGUAGGAAAUGACUUUGGAGUGACGGUACCAUUCUAGAAAGCCCCGGCUAACUAUGUGCCAGCAGCCGCGGUAAUACAUAGGGGCGAGCGGUG